ACUUCCCCAUUCCCAGUCUUUAGGAUAAAUUCCCAAUAUGCUACUGUCAUGUAGAUAGUAAAGGUGUAAGCUAUGAAGGUCGCAGGGGUAAAGAAAGAAGCCCUUACAGCCUUCUUGGAGAUAAGGCAACAUAGUUAUUCAGUGAGUGGACCCCUCGGGUGACCUUUCCAGCGUGCUCAGUAAAAGGCGGGGAAAAAUGUAAUGCUGGUGUAACGUAGUAUCCUUAUCUGAGAGCUGUAUUUUAAAUUGAAGUUCUUUUUAUAUCUCCAGAGUACCAGUUUCUGAGAGGACGAGCAAAAAGACUUAACGACAAAAACUGAUGGACCAUUACAUCUUCCAAAAUGAGCCUAUUCACGCUUUUCUACUGGAAACUAACAUGUCUUGAAGAGAGAAGAAUUCAGUGCUGGACUCUCCUGAACAUUCCUCGUGGUGCAGCUCCAGAGAACAGCUGGGUUUAUCUGACUUGAAGAGGAGGCAGAUGUGCAGGAAGCCACGAGGACAUGGGCUUUCAGUGCAUCUGGAAGAAUGAUCAGGUAUCGGCGGCUGUUGGCGUUUAAACUGUUGUAACGAGUGAGAAACUUGAGAAGAUGUGAAACAGUAAAGCGCUCGCUCCUGCCCUUGUCCUUAAAUUUUAGGUGU
rnacentral:lncRNA from 1 species